GGUUUUAAAUUAGGUAUCUUUAGAUUCGCCUUAAAAACCAUGAAAGAAGUAGAAUCGUUAGUUGGAUACGCGAAAUAAGGAAAUAAAAUAUAUUACCGUUGCCCACAUAAACCGCCUUUAGAAACCUACAUAUAUCAGUAAUCAAUCUGCACUCCCUUCGAUCGUUCUUCUCCAACAGCAUUAGCAAGCUACCCAUGAUAAGUCUCUUCAAGUACCCAUGAGACAGAUUGGAGGCUGACUAAUGAUGAUGAUUUUGAUGUAUCUUUGUUUCCAUAUUGGUCUUUAUGUGCAUGUUUUCUCUCUUUUAUUGCAGUGUAAUGAUUCUGUUCUUGAAAUCUGAGAUUAUUAACAACCUUUUGAUUGUGAAUCUUAAGAUCAUCUCAUUGAGUCAUAUUUUGUCUCUAUUUUUACAUGUUUCAGAUCUAGAUUAUCUGUUUAUAACAGUGUGUAAUGAAGUCUAAAUUAUUAACUACUGAUUUGAACUUAACUUCACUUUCUUUUCCCUUAUUAUGCAAGCUUUUGUGUGGUGACCUUUUUAUAGUUUCCAGUUAAAUGUUUUUCCUUUUCGAGUUCUUUCUGUGUUGCUCAUAUAUGUUUGUAGACUAUUUUCAUGUGUUUAGGUUAUUAAUUAUCUUUAUUUUGUUGGCUAAGCUUUUAAUGUAUUCUGUUGUUGUUUAAAAGAUAAAGGGACAUCAGUGUCACUUGUAGUUUUUACUAGUUUCCAGUUAAAUGCUUAUAUGAAUCAUGAGUAGUGUGGUCAGGAAUUUCUUUCUUUGAUGCUAUGGUUUUUUUUCCAACUGAUUGUGUGUUCUACACUAUUUAAUUAGUACCAUAUUCAUGCUAUGGAAUGUAUAUUUAGUGUUUCUUUUUGGCUUAAUGGGUUAAGCACUUAAUCUGGAGAGCUAUAUGACUGUUUCUAUUUUGAAUCUUAUGAUGACUAAAUGUUUUUUACUCAUAUUUAGUUCUCAUCAAGUCUUCAUUCAGACCCUCGAUUCAUAGCAGUGAGUGUAGAUUGUGUGCCUUUUGAAUAUUAAUAUUAAGAGCAUCACAUUCUUUUUCUACAGUUCCUAUGGUGGCAACAAAUGCAUGUAUGGAUCCAAAGAUUCAAUUCUUUGUUUAUCAUAUGUUGUUUUUCAUCUGUCACUUGUCUUGUUCUUGGUUCUUCUUUGAUGGGUUUAUUUGAAGGGUUUUGAUUUUUGAAUGACAGAGGUUCCUUAUACAAUUCUUUCCAACUUGAAAAUUAAGGUCAUUGAGUUUCUUGGUUAUCGGGUUCUUUUUUUUUUCGUCAUGUUCUUCAUUUUAUACAGAGAUAUCAGUAUGGCUUAUAUAACAAAUAUUUUUCUUUAAUGAUUAUCUCCAUUAACUUGUUUAUUUUGUGGAUAUAUACCUUACAGGAUAACUAAUGAUGAUGAUUUUGAAGUAUCAUCUUUUCUAUAAUGGUCUUUAUGUGUUUCCUUUUUUAUUUUUUUGGUUUCUGGUUGAAAGUUGGGGAGUUCUCUUCCAUUUUGGUGAGAUGUUUUCUCAAUGUGGAUAUUCCAUUCAAGUAGGUGUCUGAUUUCAGCUCUUUCUUUCUCUCUUUUAUUGCAGUGCAAUGAUCCUGUUCUUAGAAUCUAAGAUCCUCUCAUCUUUUUUUUUUUCUUUUUUUUUUUCUAUAGUUGCUAUGAUGACACCAAAUGUACAUCUGUUUACUUAGAUUCAGUUCUUUUCAAUUCUUGCAUGCUGGUAAAUUACAAUUGAGUUAGGUUGUCCUUUCUUAUUAUUGCUAUAGAGGCCCCACCCAAAGUCAAUGGAUGUUUACUCAGAAUCCAUUCCUGUGAUGGUGGCUAUUUGCAGGAAGGACAUUAUGUUCAAAACAACUCGACUAAUAGCCUGAAUAUGAUGUCCCUCUUGUAGACUAUUUUCAUGUGUUUAGGUACCACUUUCAGUUGUGAUGAUGCAUGGUGACACAAAAUGCAUGAGACAGAUGGGAGUCUGACUAAAUCUAAUGAAUUUAAAGCAUCUUCUUUUCUAUAAUGGUCUUAAUUUGUUUUGCUUUUUUGGGUUUCUGGUUGAAAGUUGUGGAGCACAAGCAUGAGACUUCUCCUUCCAUUAUGGUUAUUUGUAAGCUUCUCAUGAAAAAUAAUUUGAUAGGAGCAACACACUGGGGAGCAUAUGUUAUUAUGUAUAUAGCAAAAAGGCAAGGUUGAGAGAAAUAUGAUCAUGUCUACAAAUCAUUUUUUGGAUAUCUUCAACAUGUGUAGUAAUUAAAGAGCACAAGGGUAUCAAGGAAGUCUUUCAUGAGUUUCUAUGGUGGCAACAGUAGUAUGCAUCCAAAGAUUCUGUUUUUGUCAACUUGUGUGUGGUGGUGUGCUAUAUAUAGUUGAGCAAAACUGAAAGUUAGCUCUUGUCAACCGAUGCUUAAUUUGUGAAUUGAUACCACUGAUCAUAGCAAAGGCGAAAGAGACCAUAUCAACCUCUCCAAACUUUCCUUUUUUUAAAAAAAUAAAAAAAUAUAAGGACCCUUUUAAGCCCUUAAUCUUAUGCUAGUUUUUAUGGAUCCUUGUUACUUACUGUAGGUUUAAACUCAGAGCAGGAUGAGGAUAAUAUGACUUUUAAAAGCCCAAAGCAGCUGAAAUAUGAUCAUGUCUACAAAUCAUUUUUUGGAUAUCUUCAACAUGUGUAGAAACUAAAGAGCACAAGGGUAUCAAGGAAGUCUUUCAUGAGGUAAACUUCUCUAAGCUUUUCUAUUUUUAUUUUUUGUUUGAUGUAAUUAUCCCACCCCUUUUAUUCUUUUUAAUUUUGAAUAUUCUUACCUAUUAUUUUGUUGUUGUGUGUUCUUAAAUCUUGUCAAUUAUAGUGGGUAUGCUGAGAAACAGCAAAACACUUCAAUUAUUUAUGCAGGUAUAUAUUUUGUUGUGUUGUGUGUAUUAGUUUACAUUGAUUGGCAUUUCAAACCAAAAUAUAGCAAUGCAUUUUACUUAUAAUAGAAAUCUAUCAAGUUUUUACCUCAUCAAGACAUUUUUUUUUUGAAAAAAAAAAUACUAUCUAUAGCAUUGUACUUUAAUUUUUUCUUAUUAUAAGCAUAUUAAUUUCCCUUUGAAAAGUCAACCCAUUUAUAGCUUCACACUUCUUUGUUUUCUUUCUGUUGCAAGAUUAGUAUUCACCUACUUGUCUUCCAUCCUCUAGAGAUGCUUGGGGUCUUUUUCUUUAUCUAAUGAAUUUUUCCAUUAUGAAUUUUAAUAACUCUACUUUGUAAAAUGUAUUUUUUAUCUCUAUUUUUUUAAAUUUGACUUUGAUCUCCUCAACUUUGAACUUUGUAAAAUGUCAUUGGUUUAAUCAAUUGUCACUCCUAAUACGUAACAAAAAAACAUGCUUUAUCUAUACAGUAUUUUUCUCCAUACAAACCAUUUCACCCAUUCAGCCACUUUACCAUGUCUGUAUUUUUUAAAUUUAUUUGGAUUUUGUUUAUUGUUGAUAACAGUCUUUUGGUGAACAUGGAGGUUGUUUAAGUUGUUGUAGAAGCAAAUCCUAAAGAAUGAACUUUUUUCCUUUAUUAGCUCUUUAAUUUUGUUAUGAAUCUUAAUAUCACAUCUUGUCUUUUUUGAAGGGUUUUGAUUUUUAAUUGGCAGAGGUUCCUUAUAUAAUUCUUUCCUACUUGAAAAUUAAGGUCAUUGAGUUUCUUGUUUUUCAUCACGUUCUUCAUUUUAUACAUAGAUAAUCUUUUAAGUUUUUGGUUUUAUUUAUUUGUAAUAUAUUUGAUAGUUGAUUGAUGCUACUCUCUAUUCUUUUUAAGUUCAUUGUUUGAGUUUCUUGGUCAAUCAUUUAGAAUAAAGAAGAUACAGAAUGAAACGUAGUGAGUUUUUUUGGGGGUUUUCUUCUUCUAGCUUUUUGUGGUCAUGCAAUUUCAUUUUUUGUAUAGUUUCAUUUUAACUAUCAGAAUUCAGAUAUUUGUGUAUCAUAAGGUUUGAUAAAGGGAUAGGGGUAUCACUUAUAUAACAUUUAUUUUUCUUCAACGUGUUUCCUUUUUUGGGUUUCCAGUUGAUAGAUAGUUGGGGAGCAUAAGCAUGAGAGUUCUCUUCCAUUUUGGAUGAGAGUAAGGAAAGAUCAUACCGAGAUCAAGGUGGUGGAGGCACGCGAGGAUGGUACGGAAGCAACACAUGGGUCGUACAAUGAUGUGUGGGUGGAGUUCUUGUCCGCCUAAAUACACACGGGUGAAAGCUUGGUCGCGCAAAGGAAGCCGGUGCAAUGAUUCAGAAUUUUCUUAUGAAGUGACAAAUUUGCGCGGAUGAAGGGGCAGUCAUCUUCUACUGCUACAAGGUGGAAGUAUCUCUGGAGAAGAUGAUCAUGAUUCCUUUAGAUGUUGCGGGUAUGUCAUCUUCUACUGCUACAAGGUGAAUGUCGGGAAAUUGCACCACUUGGGAAUUUUGAUUGAGUUUGAUCAAGGAGUGUCAUAUGCCAUCUCGCAGCGCAUCACACUAUGUUUUCCGCACAAUAGAUCUUUGGGAUAACUCUGAUAUUGUUUUAUGAUAACAUAUUUUGAUUAUUGACACUUUGGUUUUGAUAUGGGAUGUUUUUAUACUGUUGGAUUUAUAAUAACUUAACUAGAAACGAAAUUUUUAGUCUUAAAUUUUGGGAUGUUAAAAUGCCAAA